GGGAAGCAGGAGGGACCACCCUCCAAGGCUAAAUACUACCUAGUGACCGAUAGCGUAUAGUACCGUGAGGGAAAGGUGAAAAGAACCCCGGGAGGGGAGUGAAAUAGAACCUGAAACCCUGCACUUACAAGCUGUGGAAGCACAUUUCUUGUGUGACCGCGUACUUUUUGUAGAACGGGCCAACGAGUUACGUUAAGUAGCAAGGUUAAGCACUUAAGGUGUGGAGCCGUAGCGAAAGCGAGUUUUAACUGAGCGUUCAGUUACUUGACGUAGACCCGAAACCGGGCGACCUACCCAUGAGCAGGAUGAAGCGAAAGUAAAAUUUCGUGGAGGUCCGAACCCACGAGCGUUGAAAAGCUCGGGGAUGACUUGUGGGUAGCGGUGAAAUUCCAAUCGAGCCCGGAGAUAGCUGGUUCUCCCCGAAAUAGCUUUAGGGCUAGCCUCAAGGUGAGAGAUACGGAGGUAGAGCACUGAAUGUCCUAGGGGGUAUUGCACCUACCGAAGACUAUCAAACUCCGAAUGCCGUCAUCUUAUACUUGGGAGUCAGACUGUGGGUGAUAAGAUUCAUAGUCGAAAGGGCAACAGCCCAGAUCGUCAGCUAAGGUCCCUAAAUGUAAGUUAAGUGGUAAAGGAUGUGGGAUUGCACAGACAACCAGGAUGUUGGCUUAGAAGCAGCCACUCAUUCAAAGAGUGCGUAAUAGCUCACUGGUCGAGUGAUCCUGCGCCGAAGAUUUCCGGGGCUAAA
rnacentral:rRNA from 1 species